UACGGGGGGGGGCAAGCGUUGUUCGGAAUUACUGGGCGUAAAGGGCUCGUAGGCGGCCAACUAAGUCAGACGUGAAAUCCCUCGGCUUAACCGGGGAACUGCAUCUGAUACUGGAUGGCUUGAGUUCGGGAGAGGGAUGUGGAAUUCCAGGUGUAGCGGUGAAAUGCGUAGAUAUCUGGAGGAAUACCGGUGGCGAAGGCGGCAUCCUGGACCGGCAUUGACGCUGAACAGCGAAAGCUAGGGGAGCAAACGGG
rnacentral:rRNA from 1 species